rnacentral:misc_RNA from 1 species
GAGGGGACCUUAUAACCUAUGCCUGGGAUAAUUGGAUUGGAGGGACUGCUUCAAAUAUCAUAGAUCCUAUUCUGAUAGGAGCUGCUUCGACACAUGAUAUAGUGAGAUGCAUCCAAAUAGGAUUGCUGUGCUUGCAAGAUGAUGCAGCAAAAAGGCCAACUAUGGCUUCGGUUGUUCUCAUGCUUGAUAGCUGCACUGUUGCUGUCCCUGCAUUGUCAAAACCUGCAUAUCGUAGGUAUGGCCACCAUACAACAAUUAUGUCUGGUACUCAAUCCAAAAGCUGCUCUUCCCAACUCUCAGUUAAUCAGUGUUCAAUUUCAGAGGUAGGACCACGUUAAAAAUAUUGGAGCAUGGAAGUAACUCUAAUUUUUU